CGGGACGUUGUAAACGCGUCGGAGUUGGAGUACCGAGCCGUGAAUAGAGAAAGGUGGAAGGAGAGCCCCGGAGAGGAGUAAACGGAACGGGAGGGGAAAAGAACGAGAGACUCGUUAUUUGUCACGAUUUCAUUUUUCGAGCGUCUACAUUGCGAGUCAUCCAUCGACAUCGGGACGUGCACGUUGAAAAAGAUCGACGAAGCAGCAUGAUCGAAAGGUAGUUGCUCGACGAAGGUCGGAUGUUCGCCGGAGGAACAAAUUCCAGACAGUGGACGAAGAAAGUUGCAGAGUUUCGUACCGGUACGUGGCACAGGAUGGAAAGUUCUUUUUAAGGAUUUACACGGAGCGCGGGGAGCAAAAAGACGAGAACAGAGAUGUAGGUGUCGGGGUGGAAAGGUUCGCGGCGGGGAGAACGGCGGAGGGCGAGCGAGAGAGACGAGACGAGGAAGGAAUAGAACAGUUUGGAGCCGCUAAUGGCGUCAAGUGUCUCGGAUACCGCGGCUUCGGCUUCUACUUCGGGUUUAGGCCGACGGUCUGCCACGCGAGGGCCACCCGAACACCCCUCAGAGGAUCCUUCGCGAAAGGAAUCGUCGGGAACACCGGUACGAAAAAGGGAAGAUGUAUGUGAACGAGUUGGAAGAGCUUUUGCAUUGUUUAUGUACGAGUAUUUUUGAGCUUGCAACUUGGGUAGAAGUCUUUCUCGAGGAUUUCUGCUUGCGGUCUCAAACUCAAACUACCCCUUGGAGACAAAAAUUAUCUCGUCAAGUUAUAUUCAUUGUUUUAAACGAUAAUUUUGCUGCUUUAGCGUUAGAAAUUCCUAGAAUUUUCGCGCCUUUGUUCUUCUCUAGAAGAAGGUACUUUAGUUAGCUUCUGUAUGCAAAGAUACAUAAAAUCAUAAAGAAAUUUCGUAAGAAAAAAUGUCGCCGAUUCUGGCUUCUCUCCAGAGUACAAUCUAUGAUAAGCACGUAAAAAAUAUAAAAACAUAAGAACAGAGAUUCCAAAUAAUAUUAAGGGGGCCAGAAAGUAAACGUUGUGUCUUUCACGUUAAAUUCAAACAAAUAAAUUUAUAAUAUGUAUCUAUUUUUAAUCAAUAAUGUAAUAUACAACCUUUUGCCAUCUACCGCGCAAAUUUUCAAUACCUGAUCGAUAAAGAUCAAUUCGUACACAGCGAGCUGAUAAAUAAUAAACAAGAAUUAAUAUUCGCAGAAACGACAUUACUUUCUGGUCCCCCUAAUACAAACGGAAGGAAAACAAAAGUACGUUACGAGAAUAGCGAUACGUAUCCCUUUUCCAAUAAUUCUUCUAAUUAACAAAGAAAAAAAAAGAAAAAAACUUUCCUUUUCCUCGCUUUAUCAAAAACGAGCAGUGCACACUUUGCGCCCAGAGGGUACGUGCUCGGAUUCGGUUAGGAGAAACUAGCCGUUAACGCUAUCGGAAAGGUGCCUAAUCUUCCGCAACGCACCGCAGUUUAUAUCCACGAUUGCGACCAUGAAUCUAAGACGACAGUGUUGUUGGUAACCUUCGUCGGGGGUACUCACCGCUAGCAGCGACGUUACCGCGAUAUUACCAGCGUUACUGGUACCAGCUACUGUCACGAAUGCCGCCAUCGCAGCCAUCCUCGCCAUCCUUACCGCAUCGCCCAGCAUCGUCGCCCAGCGGUCCCCGUUUGCUUCUCUCGCUUCGUCCGUUACCGGAACCGAGGGGGGCGAGAAGGACAGCGAAGGCUGUAAUGAAUGUUUGUACAACGGCCAUUAGCGCUCCGCUUGGAGUAGUACAUUCAGCCGGGUCUCGCAAAACCAUUCCACGCAUAUGGGAUCCACCUUCCAACGAGUACGCUCGUUUCCGGGAACGGGGAAAAGAGAGGCGCGCGCUGCUCGUCGUCCGUUCGGACGUUCGCUCUUCUUAUCGUGUUGCGCGCAUUCGAGGGAAAAUGUCACGCCUCUUUCGGGAACGUCGAAGACUGGACUGGCCGCAACUACUGGGCAAGUGGAGCGUGGAUGGCGCAGUGCAGGGUUCUUUUUUUUUUUUUUUUAAACAAUAUAAAAUAAUUACACGUUUCGGAUUGUCGCGUGUCUCACGCGACCCCGUGCCGACUGAUGCACGAGGUGUGUUUGAAAAGUAACGAGACUGGCGCUCCGACGAUAUUUAUUAGCGGGUCGGUUACGAAUUAACGUUAUAUUCUUCCGAAGUAGUUCGCACGGAGAUCCAUGCAACGAUAGACACGUUCGCGCUUUUGGAAGCGGAGGGUUGGGAUCGCGAGAUAUGUGCAUACUCGUUGUGCGAUGAAAGCCUCCAGCGGCGGAUGGUUCGAUACCUCUUGACCAUCGUCGACGGUGUUUCUCGCGUGGAAGACGAGUCUCUGAGCGACGUUAUCGAUAAAAGGCGAUGCUGCUCGCGAGAACUCGUGGCAUUUGAAGUUUUUCGAACCCGGUGUACUUCGGCGCGUCGAUGUAAGCGGCGCGAAUAACGUUGCUUGUGCAUAACGUUGCCCUGACCCGCAGGCAUUUGCGUCGAUGAAAAAAAAAAAAGAAAAAAAAAAGGCACGUAUGAAAAUGCUCUGUGACCGUUAUAUGCGUUGGCUGGUGUUGGUGUGCGUGCGGGGAUGGGCCAGGGGAGAGGAGGUGGGGCAACGUAGCGAGCUGAAAUCGACAUGACCGGUCGGCACAAAAUUUAUUUAUUAUUUUUGUCGUGCAAUUUUGUAUCGUGCCCAACUGCGGUGAAAUUAAAUUAUUAUUUUGCUGGUAUAAAUCAUCGGUUCGUUGAGUAGGAGGGGCAAAA